rnacentral:misc_RNA from 1 species
GAUGAAGAACGUAGUGAAAUGCGAUAAGUAGUGUGAAUUGCAGAAUUCAGUGAAUCAUCGAAUCUUUGAACGCACAUUGCGCCCCUUGGUAUUCCAUGGGGCAUGCCUGUUCGAGCGUCAUUUGUACUCUCAAGCUCUGCUUGGUGUUGGGUGUUUGUCCCGCGUUGCGUGUGGACUCGCCUUAAAGCAAUUGGCAGCCGGCAUAUUGGCCUUGGAACGCAGCACAUUUUGCGAUCCUAGUCAUACUUGUUGGCAUCCAUCAAGCCUAUACAUUAACGCUUGACCUCGGAUCAGGUAGGGAUACCCGCUGAACUUAAGCAUAUCAAUAAGCGGAGGA